rnacentral:rRNA from 1 species
AUGGAGGAUGAGGCACUUACACUUACACUCUGGUGGCCCGACCAGCCAGAAUCCCAUGGAAUUACCGUCUACGAUGAGAUCGCUAGUGAUUUCAUCAGCAAGCUCCCCGAUGCCAUCCUCGUAACCAUCAUCUCCCUCCUCCCCACCAAGGAUGGUGGACGCAUGUCGGCCCUCUCCCCCCGAUGGUGCCACCUCUGGCGCUCCACACCCCUCAAUCUCGAGGUCCGCACCCCACCCUGCGGUUACCCUGUCUCCACCUCCGCCAUCACCCCCACCGCCGUCUCCAAGAUAACUUCCCAACACCUUGUCCCCAUCCGCCGAUUCUCCUUCCAGUGCUUCCUGGAGGGCGACUUAUACACCCAGUUGGAGAGUUGGUUCCACUCCCAAGCCCUCGCCAACCUCCAAUAG